rnacentral:rRNA from 1 species
UACGGAGGGUGCAAGCGUUAUCCGGAUUUACUGGGUUUAAAGGGCGUGUAGGCGGGUCUUUAAGUCGGUGGUGAAAUCUCCGAGCUUAACUUGGAAACUGCCAUUGAUACUAUUGGUCUUGAAUUCUGUUGAGGUGGGCGGAAUAAGUCAUGUAGAGGUGAAAUUCGUAGAUAUUCGCAAGAACACCAGUGGCGAAGGCGGCUCACUGGCCCGGUACUGACGCUGAGGUGCGAAAGCGUGGGGAGCAAACAGG